AAAAUUAUUGCUAUUUUAUUUUAAGGGUGCUGGUGCACAGAAUUCUGAGGUCCAGACCGAUCAAAAUACGUCAGGAUGAAUUCCUUUUGCUUCCUAUGGAUUCCACUGUUCACCUGCGCGCUCACAGUGUGGUGUGUUGAACGGGCACCUGUUCCAACAAACAACGGGCGUGCUCCUUCGCCUGCUCUCGCUCCUGCACCUUCCUGCGGUCGCUGUGAACCCCGUAAUUGCCCCAGGAUCACUACCCCUUGUAUGUGUGGAACCUAUUUGGACGCUUGUAGGUGUUGCCCCAACUGCUACAAGUGCCCUGGUGAUACAUGCAGCAUUCUCAACAGCGAACGAUGCGCAGGAGGAAAACGAUGCUUGGCGCCACCAGAUGUCAGUCCGUACAUGGCGAUUAAGUACAACGGGACGUGUCAGUAACAGUACUCAUCACUGAACCACAUUAGUAGGAAAGCUAGUUCUGCAUGCUUCUUUUAAAAUAUGCAGAUGUAUUUUGUUUUGAUCGUAUUAACACUAGAUAUAAUAGAUAUAUGUGUAGUGAAGAAAUCAUAAUAAAUAUUUAAAAGGUACAAUAAAAAUUUUAUC